rnacentral:rRNA from 1 species
AGCGAACGCUGGCGGCAGGCUUAACACAUGCAAGUCGAGCGCCGUAGCAAUACGGAGCGGCAGACGGGAGAGUAACACGUGGGAACGUACCCCUUGGUUCGGAAUAACUCAGGGAAACUUGAGCUAAUACCGGAUACGUCGGCAACGAGAAAGAUUUAUCGCCGAGGGAUCGGCCCGCGUCCGAUUAGCUAGUUGGUGUGGUAAUGGCGCACCAAGGCGACGAUCGGUAGCUGGUCUGAGAGGAUGCUCAGCCUCACUGGGACUGAGACACGGCCCAGACUCCUGCGGGAGGCAGCAGUGGGGAAUAGUGGACAAUGGGCGCAAGCCUGAUCAGCCAUGCCGCGUGGGUGAUGAAGGCCUUAGGGUUGUAAAGCCCUUUCGGCGGGGAAGAUAAUGACGGUACCCGCAGAAGAAGCCCCGGCUAACUUCGUGCCAGCCGCCGCAGUAAAAC